rnacentral:rRNA from 1 species
GACGAACGCUGGCAGCGUGCCUAAUACAUGCAAGUCGAGCGGACGAAUCGAAAGCUUGCUUUUGAUUCGUUAGCGGCGGACGGGUGAGUAACACGUGGGCAACCUGCCCUGUAGACGGGGAUAACACCGAGAAAUCGGUGCUAAUACCGGAUAACACGAAAUGUCGCAUGACGUUUCGUUGAAAGACGGCGCAAGCUGUCGCUACAGGAUGGGCCCGCGGCGCAUUAGCUAGUUGGUGAGGUAACGGCUCACCAAGGCGACGAUGCGUAGCCGACCUGAGAGGGUGAUCGGCCACACUGGGACUGAGACACGGCCCAGACUCCUACGGGAGGCAGCAGUAGGGAAUCUUCCGCAAUGGACGAAAGUCUGACGGAGCAACGCCGCGUGAGCGAAGAAGGCCUUCGGGUCGUAAAGCUCUGUUGUUAGGGAAGAACAAGUAACGCAGUAACUGGCGUUACCGUGACGGUACCUAACGAGAAAGCCACGGCUAACUACGUG